AGUAAACAAAAAUUCAGGUAGCACACUUAUCAGACAGGGUCUCUCUGUGUUCAAUGCCAUACUAGGGAACAGAGCAAAGCAUGGUGUCACACUCCUUUAAGGCCAGUACCAAACACAAAGACACGUAGUUCUCUACAGACAUACAAUGUAAAAAGAGAUAGCUGGGCUAUUAUAGCCAAUUAAUGGGCAUAAGAAAAAGGCAAUAAGAGCAUGUGUAAGAGGCCAAGUAGCUUGCAUUUGGAAGCUGCAGGGUUGGUGAGGUAAGGUUUGCUUGUGACUUUUCCCAUUUCCCUGAUCUCUAAGUCUUCACCCCUAUAUUUGGCACUGUGUUUUUUAUUUUAUGAUACCAUUUAGAAACUGGUCUACAUGCAGGUCUUCAAUCAGGAGGUAUAUUCUAUUAGGCUUCUCAACUCUAAGAGAUGUUAAAAGGAGAAGAAUUUCGAUAAAGUAGCAUCUUUCUGAGAAGUUCAAGGAUAACAGGCUUAAAUCCUCUAAGGCUCUGGGGUAAAAGAGUGUACUGAAUUUGAGUGAUAUACCAGGUAGGGUGCUGGAACUGGAUAACAAUAGAGUGAUAGUUUCUAGCAACAGAAGGGUUCUGGCUAUCCAAGACCAUGGGGUAUACAUGAGAGAUUGAAAGGGAAAUGUCAUGUCAGAGGUAGUGUGCUGAGUGCCAAGAAGGAGGAGGAUAAGAGCUGCUGACAAAUCUGGGGUAGGGAAAUAUGGGCUCUAAUGAACUAGAAGCUAGUGCCUUAGCAAAAAAAAUUCUUCCCAUUAAGCACACAGGGCAGGUUUCCACAUACUAAACUGUGUGUAAGAGAUAUUCCCAUGAACAUACAUUUAAGUCAUGGGUUUUGGUGAGGUAAGUUAAUAUGUCCCUCUACCCAGAAAACAGGGAGAUUGGAAUGACAGGUAAGACUGCAAAACUCCCACAGGAUGCAGUAAGGGCCUCCAGUGUCCAAAGGAGGGAAAUGGAUUAUCCAUAUAUAAUAAUGGCUACUCUAGCUUUGGGUAUGACAUGAAUGUUGUUGGGUAAGGACCUCGUUAGUUUCAAACAUCACUUAACACUGUAGGAGAUUGCCUGUAUGUUGGUUUUCGAUUGAUGUCCUAAUGCCAUCAGUUACACAAGGUCAGUCAACUAACCUAUGUCCAUAUCAAUAGCGUUUUAGAUGAGGCCCAGGGGACCUACAUUGACAGGGGUUGGCUCAAGCCUAGUGGCUUUCUUUACAAAUUUAAAAACAGAAACCUGGAGGCCUUCAUGUGGCUGUUCAGAUAGACUGUGCUAGAUUUGACAGUCUUGUUUUCAGGUUUAUUCAUAUCGCACAUAGUUAUGUCAUGCAGGAACAUAAAGUAUGUAAUUAAGCUGCAUACAGGUUACAUAAUCCCAUACCAUAGGGUAACUUAGUAGGCAAGGACCUGGUAUGCCUAAGCUAUCUUCCUGACUGAUGGACAGAGGAUGCACAGUCAUGUAGUUAGGGGUUGAUUGGUACACAUAACACCACAAUAGACCAUAAGGCAGUAAUUUACUGUUGGAGUGAGAACCCAUGGUAAUUUCAUUUUAUAAUGUUUUCCUUUUUCAGUUUCCUUGCUCCUUUUACAACACACAGGAAGGAGGGAGAGACAGAUGAGUCACAGCUCUAAUGGAGAUGUCCAAAAUCAUUGCCAUCAUUUGCUUUCCCUUCUACUUUAGACAGCUCUCUUCUUAUUGGUUGUAUGUUUGAAUAUGAGUCAGACAGAUGGAAUAAAAAGGCUUGCAGUCCACAGUUUCACUAGCCAGGCUUCUGGCUAAAUUCCAGCUCGUAGCUGGAUUUAGCCAAAGCCUGACUGGAAACAACACAGGAGAGUGAUAACUGUCCCAGAGAACUGCAGCAGACAGAGGCAAUAGAAACAAAGGAUAGGCAGGGAUUGGGUCGGAUUUCUGACACUUCUGCUCUGAGACACCUGCAUCUGUUUGCUCUGCUGGAUAUGUGAUCCUUCCUCUGAAUCUACUGCUUCAGCUUUAAUAUUUGUGGUCACUACCUAAGAUUUGAAUCCUCCACUAUCUGCAAGGAUGGCUUACAUUGGGAAAAAAAAACCUGACAGAAACCAGGGAUGCAUUAAUAUUAUAUCCCCUCAGAGGAGCCAUUAAGGAAAUGACUGUAUCAGUGACAAUUAUCACUUAGCCCCCUGGGACUCUAUGAAAAUUUCAAGUGUCAGAUUCCACAAAUAAGUGCAUUUGUGGAAUCUAAAAUGGUAUAUGGGAAACUGUUAUCUGAAAGGUACAAUUUGCAUCCCAGAAUCACAAUAAGCCAUCAGCCUGUGGAAAGUGAGGCUGUUAGGUAGAUAGCCCGGAAACAGGGACAAGUACCUGGGUAUGUGAUCAACCUCUAAUUACCACGGGAUGCUUUUCUCUUUUCAGAAUUGCAUUCUGGGCAGUCUAGCAUUCAUUACAUCAUUUCCUGUCUUCCACUUUCAGUUUUGUUGUUUCGGCUGCAGUGCACAUUGGUUUGGGAGGGUGAAAUGACUCAGCAGCUCUGAAGGAGAUCUCAAAGAGUAACACAGGAUUUGCUUUCCAUUGCUGAAAUUGAGCUCAACCUCCAUAUUGUUUCCUGUGGGUUGGGCCAUGCCCCACCCCCUCAUUUGUCCAGAGGUUUCUCGAGUAGAACCUGCAGGAAGUAUUAUUUAAAAUGAUAUAGGUAAGUGAAUCAGAUAGAAAAUACAGGAUUGCUUUGAGAAUGCAUGUCUCCUAAUCCAUCCAGCAUACUGUCUCUGCCCUAGGUUAUUUAAAGGAAGGCCAAGUUGUGGAGAAAGGACCUCACCUCUGUACAGAAAAGUGUAGACCAUCUCAGAUUCCUGCCCUCAGGGCCAUGGUCCAAUCAUCCUUCUAAGUAGAAGUGCUAGGUAAAGACUAAAUUAGCUCUAUCAGGUUUCUGUUACAAACAAAAUUUGAAAGCACACACUCCUCAAUCAGAGGAAAUGGGAGCAAAUAAAAUUUUUAGCAGAGCAUGUUCUCACCAAUCAGCCUCUUGUUGUAUUAAGGUUCUCAGUUUCUCAUGGAUAUAAUUAUAAUCUGAAUUUACAUUGGCACAGAAAAUGCAGCUUGUUCCUUACAUAGAAGGGGAGACAGACUCCAUGGAAAUUAGCAAAGUCAAAGAUUGUAUGUUUCCUAGGAUUACAGAUCUGAGUCACAUGAUCCUGUCAAAUGUGUAGCAAGCAGAUGCCUGCUUCUGCAGCUACAGCUUCUUUUUAAAGAUGUGGGCUCACUGUCUCCGUUUGAUUUCACUUCAGGUUUUUGUAUCUGGCUGAGACUUGGGGAGUCCUGCUCUUUCAUUCUUCUGAAGCCACUGCUAUCCUUAAGGGUAUGGCAUCCCUGUAUCUGUAUUGAUGUGCUGCUCUAGAAACAAGGGAGUUAAUUCUCUUGAGCCUUUAUUAUCUGGCAGAGAGUAGUGAAAUCCUACCCUUUCCUCUAACCUGGGAGAGUUAUUGUGGAAAUGGCAAUAGCAUUUUAGUUUUAUUCAGAAAACGUAGAGUCAUUGAAAAUAUGGAGCAUUAAUAUCUGCAGAUACUUCUCUAUCUGUCACCAAAGGCAAAAUGCAUUGAAAAAUAAAGCAUAUCACAGGAAACGUACUUCUUAUAACAUGUUGCCAUUUAGGUAAUCACAAAUUCAAAUUUGCAUUCUUGGUUUGCAUUAUCAAAGUGUUCUGGCAUUCAGAAUAUCAUGUAGGUGAUUUUUCCUACUUCUCAGCCCAUUCCUAUGUAUGAAACCAAACAGGUCAUUAGCUUUGUUGUAAAUCAAUUAUUUAUUGAUAAUGACAGAGACAUAUUCAAUACUUCCCUUGAUAAUGAUAAACACCAAUGAUUCCUUUUUGUUGAAUAUUUCUUUUAGUAUGCUUUGAAGCAGUGCAGAACUUAUCUCCCCUCAGACUCUGAAUUCCUAUGUCUGAUAGUAAAUUUAAUAGUGGAAAACUAUGGUAUGUUGGAAUCAGCAACAACCUCUGAAUCUUUUGAAAGCAUUCUGCCAUCUUUUCAUUACAAAUAUCUGUGAUUCUCAGGUAGAGAUGAACACAUUAAAGAUCAGAACAUGGUGCUUUUAAGUGUCUCACGCUCUUUAGAAAACCCUUGUCUGUAAUCAUUGUGUUGUUUCCCAAUUAUUGCCUGAAGUAAUAUCUCUUAUUAGGGCCAAGUGAUGCAUAUAUAUUUGAGUACAUCAAUGUUAUUAGGACUCUAUUUAUUUCUAUAUGACUCUGGCAGAAGGAAUAAACUAUUUUUGUAAAAUCUGUCACCAUUCUGGUCUCAGGUUCCUGGCCCUUUUCAAACCCAUGCUCCUUUUUUAAUUUUUAUUACAUAACUUUUGAUCAAGUAUAUACAUAUGUUAGUCAUCUAUUACAUUCAAUAUGAGGCAGAACCUACAAUCAUUUUCAUAACUUUAAUUUUUUAAACCUGCUUUAAAAUUUUUGGUCAAACAUAUAAGUAUCACCAAUAUUCAUGUUAAUUUUUUUUCUUAUUUUUAUGCUUCUUUUAGCACACAUAUUAUAAAAUCUAUUCAAAUUAAAGAAAUAGACAAAAACAAUCAUUAAAUAUGGAAAUUAUUGUGAAAACAAUGUAAUCAAUUCAGUGUUCAUUGGUUAUUGAACGCUUAUAUACUCAGUACAGGAUUAUGUUGAUCAUACAUGUAAUUAAGUUUGAAGGGAUAUAAUUUGGAGUGUGAAGAGAGACAGAAACUUAUUGGGUUGGGGUGUAUGGAAAAUAUUGUGACACAGGAAUGCCUAGUUCACAUAUGUCUGGAAAUGUUUGAUGAUAUAACUGCACAAAACACAGAGACAUGUACAUGUUUGUGCCUUUGUUGAUUUGUUAUUCUUUAAUAUACCUUUUGAGCCUUGGGACAAACAACUGCCAUAUAUUAUUAA